UACGGAGGGGGCGAGCGUUGUUCGGAUUUACUGGGCGUAAAGGGUCCGUAGGUGGUUUAAUAAGUUAGGUGUGAAAGCCCGGAGCUCAACUCCGGAACUGCACUUAAAACUGUUAAACUAGAAUCAUGGAGAGGAUAGUGGAAUUUCCAGUGUAGAGGUGAAAUUCGUAGAUAUUGGAAGGAACACCAGAGGCGAAGGCGACUAUCUGGACAUGUAUUGACACUGAGGGACGAAAGCGUGGGGAGCAAAC
rnacentral:rRNA from 1 species